rnacentral:rRNA from 1 species
AGUGAACGCUGGCGGUAGGCCUAACACAUGCAAGUCGAACGGCAGCACAGUAAGAGCUUGCUCUUACGGGUGGCGAGUGGCGGACGGGUGAGGAAUACAUCGGAAUCUACUUUUUCGUGGGGGAUAACGUAGGGAAACUUACGCUAAUACCGCAUACGACCUACGGGUGAAAGCAGGGGAUCUUCGGCCCUUGCGCGAUUGAAUGAGCCGAUGUCGGAUUAGCUAGUUGGCGGGGUAAAGGCCCACCAAGGCGACGAUCCGUAGCUGGUCUGAGAGGAUGAUCAGCCACACUGGAACUGAGACACGGUCCAGACUCCUACGGGAGGCAGCAGUGGGGAAUAUUGGACAAUGGGCGCAAGCCUGAUCCAGCCAUACCGCGUGGGUGAAGAAGGCCUUCGGGUUGUAAAGCCCUUUUGUUGGGAAAGAAAAGCAGCAGGUUAAUACCCCGCUGUUCUGACGGUACCCAAAGAAUAAGCACCGGCUAGCUUCGUG